UUCUUUGAAUAUCUUUUGGGUAUCGUUUAUUUUGCUUGUAAUAAAUGAUUUAAUAGGGAAUCGUGUGAGAAUCACGAGCUGUCGCGCAACUGUAAGCACCCUGAAGUUUUUAUCAAAUGAAUCCACUGUUUCGCAUAAAAUGAAAUGGGAAGGAAGAUAAAAAUGGUGUAAGUCAGGAGACCUGCCUAAAAAGAUUAUGACAU
rnacentral:ncRNA from 1 species